UAGGGAAUCUUCCACAAUGGACGAAAGUCUGGUGGAGCAACGCCGCGUGAGUGAAGAAGGGUUUCGGCUCGUAAAACUCUGUUGUUAAAGAAGAACAUAUCUGAGAGUAACUGUUCAGGUAUUGACGGUAUUUAACCAGAAAGCCACGGCUAACUACGUGCUAG
rnacentral:rRNA from 1 species